CAGAUGCAGCUUCAGGAGUCAGGACCUGGCCUGGUGAAACCCUCACAGUCACUCUUCCUUACCUGCUCUAUUACUGGUUUCCCCAUCACCAGUGGUUACUACUGGAUCUGGAUCCGUCAGUCACCUGGGAAACCCCUAGAAUGGAUGGGGUACAUCACUCAUAGUGGGGAAACUUUCUACAACCCAUCUCUCCAGAGCCCCAUCUCCAUUACUAGAGAAACGUCAAAGAACCAGUUCUUCCUCCAAUUGAACUCUGUGACCACAGAGGACACAGCCAUGUAUUACUGUGCAGGA